rnacentral:lncRNA from 1 species
AUGUGGCGUUCCGCCCCUUAUAGAAUCAAGUAUUGUUGGGAAGAUAAUAUUUAAUCAUUGAAAAUAUUAUUUAAAUAUUUUCGGGAUUAAUUUCUUUCAAUGUUUAUUAAGAUACAACGUAAAGCAAACACAUAAUUGUUAAAUGCUUACUGAUUUCACAUUUAAACGUGGCAACCUUGGUUCCCUCGCGUUGACAGUUAAUGAUUAGGAGAGGGGUACGAAGAAUUUCAGCUGGUAACUGAAGGCCGUGAAGGGGCAUUGUUCUCCAGUGUACGGUCUAGGUAGCGUUGCGGGGCGUUUGAACGAAAUUAUUCACCUAUAAUUCAAAGUUCCAAAUGUAUUAAAGAUUACCAUAAAUACUAUAGUGAAGUUAUCCAGCAGUGAACCGUGAAGUUGAAGAAUUUUGGAGAAUAUUAUAUACAAUGAGUUCCGCCCCGCACCUACCAUGAAAUCUUAAGGUCACCUAACAACCACACCAAGGCCAGACCACACUGAGAGAAACAAUCACUAGGCGACCAGCCUGGAUUAUUUCCACACAUUUUCGUUUGAGUACCUCCAGCUGCUUUCCACCAGUCUUGAGUACCUUCAGCUGCUUUCUACCAGUCUUCCUCUCCUGUACCUCCAGCAGGACAGCUGCUAGCGAGAGUUAGCACCCUUGGGUGCUCAUUACAUCAACUCGAAGAUUGUGUAAAAGGGGUUUGUUUGGGAACAUUUACUGUGCUCUUAGUAAAGACAGACUGUUUUUGGUGAUAUUUAGUACAUUUUUAUAGUUCAAUUGCACACACAUUUUUCCUGUUUUAUAUUUUUAUGGUAUUUUUUCCUUAACAACCUAAUAUUUAAUUAAUAGCGUUCCCCAAUACUCUGCAAUAUUUAAGGUAAAGAUCUCUGAGCUCAGAUAUUUUUCCCUACAAUAGUAGUCGGUACUCAUAUUUUGAUUAUUUUUAUGCUGGUUUCCAUUUUUAUAUAAUUAUUUAAACUCAUUUCAUUAUUUUAGUAUAGGUUGAAUUAGAUUUUUCAAAAUUAACUUCAAAUAUUAUUCAAAAUGUCAAUUAUUAACUUUAUUUUAACUUUAACUCAUUAAAUUCCUAUAAACUUCUGGACUCUAUUCCCUCAGAAUUGUUUCUGGUUUCACUUGCUAUUAUUAUUAUAAACUACGAGUUAGAAAAGGAUCUGUGGUAUCCAAUCGUAGGUUUAUUUAUUCGAUAAAGGUUUGUGCCUGUCCAACUCACAUUGAGUUAUUUAUAUAUUAUUUAUGAUAUCAGGUAGUAUUUAAUUAAGGUGUACGUAUUAUAAACGUACAAUUAUUAUUUGGUGAAGGUUCUACUAACCUAGGUGUAAGUUGUACUUUCUGUAUUAGAGGUACCCUUCUUCAGAUUUUCUAACCUUAUUAAGAUUAUUCUUAGAUCACAUUUGUGUGAUAAUUUUGUAAUUGACUUUCACUAGUAUCAUUUUUUUUGUCAUUUUAGAGUCACAAACUAGUUACUUGUCUUAACUCGGAGAUUGUGAACAUCUAGUAGUUAAAUUUAAUAAAUUUAUAUUUAUUGUG